CCUGACCCGCUUCCUGGCGGGAACCUGGGCACGUGCCCCCCGCCCGCGAGGCUGCGCCUUCCCAGGGGACCGGCUCCCGCCUGCAGCUUCCCGCUGCCCGGGAGGCACCUGCUAAUUAACCCCUGAGUGACCCGCCGGCCGGGCCCGGGGCCCCUCGCUCGGCUCCCGCCGCUGCCCCUCCCCCCGCGAUAUAAAUAGCACCUGCUUCCCGUUUCCUAAAUUUUCCCGCUGACGUAGCGCUGACGUCAUUGUGUAGGUUGAUGCUUUUCUAUGAAUGAGCCGAGAUCCCCGUUACUACGAGCCAGACCCUAUAAAAGCUCCGCGGGCUGCGGCGGGCGGCAGCGGCUCGGGCGGCGAGUGACGCGGCUCUGCCAGGUCUUGUCUGCACUUAAAACACUGCAGCUGCACCGCUUCAGUGGAGACACUGCGCUGACAGGAGGGGUUCUCCCAUCGGAGCAGGUAAUCGCCUGCUGCCUCUCAGGGAGGUGAAGUCACGGGGCGAAUUCUCCAGUCUAUGCCAGGAGAUAGGUGUGGAAAGGAGCAGCCCAGCCCUGUUGUCCUGCACUUGUGACACACUCUGAACUGGGACUUUCUCUUCUGGGCCCUCGGGUCUCUUCCUGUGCCCAGCUCUGGUGCGGACGUGCAUGGCUCAUACCGUUCUGCAGCCCCACAAGGGGAGGGGAGCAGAAUAAAACCAUCUGCAACCCCAUAGGGCAUGGACCUGGAAAGCACAUGCAGAGGCGGAACCUGAAUCCAGCAGUAGGAUGGUCACGCUCCUGCCCAGUCACACAAGAAUUUAGCAGCAGGGAGUGAGAAGGGCAGAUGAGGUUGGUGAGCCUGGAACAAGGGCAGGCCUUGUGAAGCAGGGUCUCCCUCCACUCCUGCUCUUCCAGGCCCGGGUUCCCCCACCGUGCACGGUUUUGCUGGUGCCCCUGUGUGAGAACACUGGCACCUUGUGUACUCGCAGCCCAGCACCUGUUGUGGAUCGAAAAAUACAGAUGCAAGGUGAGCAGAGGUCAGUGGCACUGUACAACCUAGAUACGUUGCACUGUCUCUGGUGCAUCCGAGUGGCCUUUGUGGCCCGGGGGCUUGCAAGGGCAGGUGCUAGGUGGAGAUAUCUGACCCCUGCCAGUGCAAGGAGCAGACAUGGGCAGGUGCAGAACUAGAGGCAGCUGCGGUGGCCUUUGCUCUUCCUCAAGCCAGUGCCACAUCUCCACUUCCCAGGCCCUGAGCCUCCCUGCUGGGGGCUGUCAGAACUGAGUCUCCACCUCAGUGCAACCACUGUGGGAGGCUGUCCUGCUCACCAGCCUCUGCCAGGGAGGGGAGCUUUACUGCCAGCUCUUCCAUGGCAGGGGAGAGGUGAGAGAUGCUAUUUCCACUCAUCUCCCCUAUCUCUGAGCAGCAAGUCACAGGGAACAUGUGCUCCCAGCACUGGGAUUUAACGGGCAGGGGGAGUAGAGGUGUCACCCUGGGGAGCAGCUGAGCUGGCUGGAGUGUGAAGGGUUAAAAUGAAGAUGAGCUGGGUGCUCCCUGCCCUCCUGUGAAGUGGGGGGGGGAGGGGGAGAGUUGAUCCUGCUGGGCUGUGAUGCAGGUGCUGGAGUCCUUGUCUCCUCCUGCACUGACUGAGCCUGGCUAAUCCCUGUCACCAUGGUACCAACUUCUGCCCACGCCCCCAUGUCUCCAGGGCAACCGUGGCUUUAGA